rnacentral:rRNA from 1 species
CCUACGGGUGGCAGCAGUAGGGAAUCUUCGGCAAUGGGGGCAACCCUGACCGAGCAACGCCGCGUGAGUGAAGAAGGUUUUCGGAUCGUAAAGCUCUGUUGUAAGAGAAGAACGUGUGUGAGAGUGGAAAGUUCACACAGUCACGGUAACUUACCAGAAAGGGACUGCUAACUACGUGCCAGCAGCCGCGGUAAUACGUAGGUCCCGAGCGUUAUCCGGAUUUAUGGGGCGAAAGGCGGGUGCAGGCGGUUGGAUAAGUCUGAAGUUAAAGGCUGUGGCUAAACCAUAGUAUGCUUUGGAAACUGUGCAACUUGAGUGCAGAAGGGGAGAGUGGAAUUCCAUGUGUAGCGGUGGAAUGUGUAGAUAUAUGGAGGAACACCGGUGGCGAAGGCGGCUCUCUGGUCUGUAACUGACGCUGAGGCUCGAAAGCGUGGGUAGCGAACAGGAUUAGAUACCCGGGUAGUC